CUUGUGCAAGAGGCAAGAGCACCCUCACGUCUCUCACUACAGAGCCUGCCAGAUGAACAUCUGAGCCACAGCAGACAGCUCACGACAGCUCUCCAAUGGAUGACAUCUGGGAUCAAUGGGACCACUUCCUGUUUCCAUAUUCACAUCAGCAGAAGCUCAGCAACUAUAGCGUCUUCUCGAGGCAUGGAGAGGAAAAAUAAGCCAUGUUCAAACAAGAAUCAGUGCUCAGAAUAGCCAGUUCCCAGAGUUCUCUCUGAAGGUCACCCAUCAGUCCCAGGGAAACCAAGAUGGCUGCUGUCCUCACAAGGGAUGCUACAGUGCCACCCAUGUGUGCACACUGCACACUGACUACAUUUGGAACUGGAGGGACAGACCUGCUGGACUUUCUAACUGCAGUUGAUCACCUUCACAUGCUAAAAUAACCCGAGGUGAUCAAAGUCAAAAGUGGUGUGUUAUUGUUGGCUCUCCAUUUCAGAGUUUUCAGUCCAUGGUUGCUUGGUCCGGUUACCUUGGGCUUAUAGGGAAAUAGUUCCUCUUGGUGAGAGCGCAAGGUCAGGAGGACUAUUCAUUGUAUGGUGAGCAG